GCUCUUAUCGAUAAACAAUUGGAGGGCAAGUCUGGUGCCAGCAGCCGCGGUAAUUCCAGCUCCAAUAGCGUAUAUUAACGUUGUUGCAGUUAAAAAGCUCGUAGUUGAAGUGAAGAGUGGUGAUUGUUGUUCUACAUUCGUGUAGUUUCAUGAAUCAACACUCUCCCUCUAAAUCCUGUAUAUGAGUAUUAAUUUACUUGUAUACGUAUUUAGACAUUUACUGUGAGAAUAAUUAGAGUGUUCAAAGCAGGCAUUUGCUUGAAUAUAUUAGCAUGGAAUAAUCAUGUAUGAUUUUCAUGAUGUAUUUGAUUGGUUUUGGUCAUGAGAAUAAGAUUAAAAGGGACAGUUGGGGGUAUUCAUAUUCAAUAGUCAGAGGUGAAAUUCUCGGAUUUAUGGAAGAUGAACAAGUGCGAAAGCAUUUACCAAGGAUGUUUUCAUUAAUCAAGAACGAAAGUUAGGGGAUCGAAGAGGAUUAGAUACCCUCGUAGUCUUAACUAUAAACGAUACCGACUAGAGGUUAGUGAAGGUCAUUGUAGUCUUGACUAGUAUCUUAUGAGAAAUCAAAGUCUUUGGGUUCCGGGGGGAGUAUGGUCGCAAGGCUGAAACUUAAAGGAAUUGACGGAAGGGCACCACCACA
rnacentral:rRNA from 1 species